UGGGGAAUUUUGGACAAUGGGCGAAAGCCUGAUCCAGCAAUGCCGCGUGUGUGAAGAAGGCCUUCGGGUUGUAAAGCACUUUUGUCCGGAAAGAAAUCCUUGGCUCUAAUACAGUCGGGGGAUGACGGUACCGGAAGAAUAAGCACCGGCUAACUACGUGCCAGCAGCCGCGGUAAUACGUAGGGUGCAAGCGUUAAUCGGAAUUACUGGGCGUAAAGCGUGCGCAGGCGGUUUGCUAAGACCGAUGUGAAAUCCCCGGGCUCAACCUGGGAACUGCAUUGGUGACUGGCAGGCUAGAGUAUGGCAGAGGGGGGUAGAAUUCCACGUGUAGCAGUGAAAUGCGUAGAGAUGUGGAGGAAUACCGAUGGCGAAGGCAGCCCCCUGGGCCAAAUACUGACGCUCAUGCACGAAAGCGUGGGGAGCAAACAGGAUUAGAUACCCUGGUAGUCCACGCCCUAAACGAUGUCAACUAGUUGUUGGGGACUUCAUUUCCUUAGUAACGUAGCUAACGCGUGAAGUUGACCGCCUGGGGAGUACGGUCGCAAGAUUAAAACUC
rnacentral:rRNA from 1 species